AUUGAACGCUAGCGGGAUGCUUUACACAUGCAAGUCGAACGAGUGGCGGACGGGUGAGUAAUAUAUCUGCAUGUGCCCAGUAGCGGGGGUUAACUACUGGACACAGUUGCUACUACCGCAUACUAUUGGCGCGGCCGAUUUCGGAUUAGCUAGGUGGUGGGGUAAAGGCUCACCAAGGCAACGAUCCGUAGCUGGUUUGAGAGGACGACCAGCCACACUGGGACUGAGACACGGCCCAGACUCCUACGGGAGGCAGCAGUGGGGAAUAUUGGACAAUGGGGGAAACCCUGAUCCAGCCAUCCCGCGUGUGUGAGAAGGCCUUCGGGUUGUAAAGUACUUUUGGCAGAGAGGCGGUAUCUGCAGAAUAAGCACCGGCUAACUACGUGCCAGCAGCCGCGGUAAUUC
rnacentral:rRNA from 1 species